AAGUAUGAUUUGAUUCUAGGGCCU
rnacentral:sRNA from 1 species